GUGACCUGCGGAGGAUCAUUAAAGAAUACAAGGCUUCACAGCCCUAUUCUCACCCUUUGCAUACCGAACUUUGUUGCUUUGGCAGGCCUUCCCGGCUUAGGCUGGACUCGCGCCUGCCAGAGGACCCAAACUCUUGAAUUAUUGCAGUCUGAGAAAACUAUACAAUAGUUAAAACUUUCAACAACGGAUCUCUUGGUUCUGGCAUCGAUGAAGAACGCAGCGAAAUGCGAUAAGUAAUGUGAAUUGCAGAAUUCAGUGAAUCAUCGAAUCUUUGAACGCACAUUGCGCCCUCUGGUAUUCCGGGGGGCAUGCCUGUUCGAGCGUCAUUACAACCCUCACGCCUCGCGUGGUAUUGGGCUCGCCCUGUAGGGCUUGCCUCAAAGUCAGUGGCGGCACCGUUUGACCCCUAAGCGUAGUAAUACUUGUCGCUUCUGGUGUCGUGUGGAGGCCUGCCAGCAACCCCCAAUUUUUUUAAGGUUGACCUCGGAUCAGGUAGGGAUACCCGCUGAACUUAAGCAUAUCAAAA
rnacentral:rRNA from 1 species